rnacentral:lncRNA from 1 species
AUCGCUUUCUUACUUCUCUCACAAAGCAGCUGAGAGAGUAAGCAUGAUAAUAUCACUCUUUAAUAUCAGUUUUCACUUAGGAAAGCUAAAAAUGACAUCAACCCUAUCAACAUCAUCAUUUCACAAUCUACAAACCAUUGAACAGGAGUUCAGUCUGGAUUCCCCAGAGAUAAUUAUUUUUCCUCCCACCAGGACAUACAAGAAAAGAUAAACCAGGGAAAAACAAAGAUGCUAGGAAUUAGGGCUAGUUAAAAUGUAUAUCCGUAGUCGGUCUUCUAAUUCCCCAGAUAAUGCUAGAUCUCAAGAUCAGGAAGAUAACUGGCAUUCUUUAGUUUUUGACAUGCUACCUAAUGAACAGCUAAACCAUUUUCAUAGAAGGCAAAAUUAGAGUGCUGCUGCAGGAACGUGGCUUCUAUAUCUAAAGUUAAUUGGAUUUUCCAUUAUGAUGAGGCUUGUUUUUCAGAAUUUAAUCUCUUAGUCUCCCGAUUGCUCUGCGUUGACGGUAAGACAGAAGAUAAAUAGGGCAUGUGGAGUGAAUCAUGGGUUGGGGAGGAGCCUAUUAGGUCAAAGGAUCUGCAGGUAUAUUGAGACAUUACAAUGUGCAAGCAGGAACUAGGAUUUGGGUAGAAUACGUGUCUUCUCAAAAUGGAGUUUUUCAGAAGGGAAAACUGACUUCAUGUUAUUGUAGUUUCUCUCUCUCUCUCCACCUCUGUCUCUCUCCUAGACAACAAUGUGCUCUACUUCCAUUAGGAUGUUGAGGGUGAUCCGUGCAGACUGGAACAAAAUAGCAGUACUAACUUUUUUUUUUUUUUUCCCAGUCAGACAGAUUGCUCUAGAGUCUACCCAAUUUAGCAACAGUUUGUACUCGCUGGUGUUUUGAACAUGAAAAGAGCUUUCAAAGUGAAAGAACCAAUUUGAAAAGAGCUUCAGCAUCGCUGAUGGGCCAGGAGAAAAUGGGACUUUCCCAGUUGUGGAAUGGCAACGCGCUCCAUCGCCUUGAGGGCAGCAAUGAACAAGCUCAAGGUAAACACUAACCAGAAGCUGAUGUGUGUGGUGAGCACUGUGGUACCUAAUCCAGAUGCAAUACCCCAUUCUGAUCAGGAAGGGAUUUGUCUCCAAGCUGUUGAAAAGUCGGUGGAAGAAGCCUCCCAACUGACAGCCUUCCUUGGGGAGAGACGACAUUGGGAGGAUUGUUUUGGGAGUGGAGUCAGAGAGACACUGUUUAAGCUGGGCACCAGAACCCUCAGUGAAGUCGUGUGAGCAACAUAGAAGCUAGGAGAUGCAACAAGAGGCUGGAGAGAAAGUGUGGUUACAAAGCACGAAUCCAAGAACUGCUGGCAAAUAUUGAAAAUGCUUGGUGAGAGAGCUGGGGCCCCUACUAAAAAUUCCACUUGGUCGGGGGCUUCUGGGUAUGAUGACAAUUGA